ensembl:lncRNA
CUAAUAAACUAAAAAAAAAAAUGUGGGUUGGGGUUUGGAAUGGCUACCAUGUUUAUUUGCAAGAUUUACACAAAAUAUUAUUCAAUUGGUAAAUAUAUUAAUUUGUAUUUAUUUAAUAAAUGCGUCUUCCAUUUUUGUCUUUACAAUUUCUUAAGAAUUUUUGCUUGAAUUAAAUUAUUAAGAAUUGUUGCAAAGAAUUGCAUGCAUCUCACAAAUUCAUAAAACCAUUUGUUUUCUUGGUGUAAAAAAAAAAAAUCAGCAUUAAUCAUGAACUAAGUUCUUUAAUAUGAAUCUCAUCCAUAUUGAUGCUUUAACAAAACAUUUUUAAAAUCUAAAAUAAAAUAUACAUACUUUCUCUCCACACAUCAGAUAUUUUUGAAAAUUUAAAGAAAUAUUUGUACAUAAAAAAUAUAUAUAUUUUCUUCAGCAAGGUUUUAGUUUUUGUGUCCCAACAAACAUGCAUAAAAUAAUUAAAAAUAGUUGCAUGCAAUUAUCUAACAAAUUCACAAAAACAUUUGUUUUGUAGGAGUGAAAAAUAAGCAAAUAUCAAAAUUGAUCUAUUUAACAAGAAUAUCAAACAUUUCGAUUCCAGUACAGAAGCAAAAAAAAAUAAAAAAAUAAAUAAAAAUAAAUAAAUAAAUAAAUAAAUCCCCUCCGAUCACAAGUGACGUUGAUACUUGUACUAAUCACUCCAAACCUCUAGGCGGCAGUCCUGCUUUAACAAAACACACUCUACACGGAAUUUUAGUGGCAGAAAAAACCCUUCCGUUUGUUGUUCACCCGCCACUAACAAGCAAAUGGCUAGCUGGGGUACUUUUUAAGGCACAAUUGUAUAUGUGAUGAGUUAGUAAGCAUAUUUUUUUUGGAAGGAAGGUGCCGAAUAACCAUCAUUGAGCAUGACGGCAGUAAUUCACGAGUUACUGUCCUCCGUUAUGGGGGUAUUAGUUGAAAGUGUCGUGUCGGAGUUGAGCAAACAUCUCUCUGACUUCACGACUGUCUUAUCUGAGGAGUGGAAGCGCAAUAAGGGGACGGCAGUGAACAAAAACAGACUUAAACAGGCGAAUCAAGCCAAAACUAAGGAGUUUGCUGAUUUCAUGGAGAUGUUGAGUAAAGCCACAGUAGAGACGAUGGUGAAACUGAUUCAUGAUCACAUCUCAGCUCAAGUACCGGAAGCUACAGCAAAGUCUCAGCUCUCAAAACAAGACAAACUAAAUGAGGGUCAAGCAGCCACAUCGGAGUCUGAAAAUAAUGUGCUUCUUGAGUCUGAACAGAACAAGGAUUAUGAAAUGGAAUCAGAACAUCAUGAAAACUCUGGACAAGCAGCAAAUCAGUACCAACAGCUGUCAUCUGCACCCACAGAUAUUCUGGCAGGCAGUUUAAGUUUGAGUGAAAGCCAGCCAUCCACAAGCAUGAACAUAGCUGCUGAGGAGAGACAGGAGCCUUUAAUUUGUGAGUCCUGUGGAGUAUCGUUCAGUGACAUGGCCCUGUUAAACAUUCACAAUGCUUUACACAAAGAAAGACCUUUCAAUUGUUUGACAUGUGGGAAUACUUUCAAAAUGAUGAAAUGCUUGAUGAAACACCAGAGAUUUCACAUGACUCCGGAUUUGAGUAUUGAGUUCGAAGCCACUCUGAAUGAAGAAGAAUUCAUUGUGCAGCUUGAAACCUGUGACACUGUCAAUACAUCACUGGAAACACUAGAGGUCACCACUCAAGAAAUUCUCCAGAAUAACUUGGACAAUGAAGACGUAUCUUGUGCUGUCUUGGAAAGCAGUCAGUAUGUGACUGAAUCUCUUGUGCAAGGUUUAAAUAUUACCAUCGAAAACACAGACAACCAGCCCAACACCACACCUAACACAGAUAUGAUCAAGAAAUCGAAUGAUGGCUUGUUCCGAUGCAAAACUUGCGGGAAGUGUUUUGAACUCAGGUGGAAGUUCAUUAACCACGUUCGGGCUCAUGUGAAACAUUACAAAUGUUCGCAUUGCGAGAAGCGCUUUACUAUGAAGGGGCGGUCACACUAG